GAUGAACGCUGGCGGCGUGCCUAAUACAUGCAAGUCGAGCGAACAGACGAGGAGCUUGCUCCUCUGACGUUAGCGGCGGACGGGUGAGUAACACGUGGAUAACCUACCUAUAAGACUGGGAUAACUUCGGGUAACCGGAGCUAAUACCGGAUAAUAUCUUGAACCGCAUGGUUCAAUAGUGAAAGACGGUUUUGCUGUCACUUAUCGAUGGAUCCGCGCCGCAUUAGCUAGUUGGUAAGGUAACGGCUUACCAAGGCAACGAUGCGUAGCCGACCUGAGAGGGUGAUCGGCCACACUGGAACUGAGACACGGUCCAGACUCCUACGGGAGGCAGCAGUAGGGAAUCUUACGCAAUGGGCGAAAGCCUGGCGGAGCAACGCCGCGUGAGUGAUAGAAGUCUUCGGAUCGUAAAACUCUGUUAUUAGGGAAGAACAAAUGUGUAAGUAACUAUGCACGUCUUGACGGUACCUAAUCAGAAAGCCACGGCUAACUACGUG
rnacentral:rRNA from 1 species